CAGCAGCCGCGGUAAUACAGAGACUGCAAGCGUUAUUCGGAUUCACUGGGCGUAAAGGGUGCGCAGGCGGCCAAGUGUGUGAGGCGUGAAAGCCUGGAGCUUAACUCCAGAAUUGCACCUCAAACUACUUGGCUAGAGCAUUGGAGAGGGUAGCAGAAUUCAUGGUGUAGCAGUGAAAUGCGUAGAUAUCAUGAGGAAUACCAGAGGCGAAGGCGGCUACCUGGACAAUUGCUGACGCUCAGGCACGAAAGCGUGGGGAGCAAAAGGGAUUAGAUACCCCUGUAGUCCACGCCCUAAACGGUGCACACUAGGUCUUGGCGGAUUCGACCCCCCCAGGGCCCAAGCUAACGCGUUAAGUGUGCCGCCUGAGGACUACGGCCGCAAGGCUAAAACUCAAAGGAAUUGACGG
rnacentral:rRNA from 1 species